rnacentral:misc_RNA from 1 species
GCCACAUAAGCUAAUAGAGUUCCACUCAUGCCAUGUAGACUAAUAAACUUUCCCCUCCUAGUUUGCCCCAAUUUUCUCCAUUUUCCUUAGAAUUUCACUGAAGAACAUAGAACCCCUCUUCCUCAUUUCUCCAUUUCCUUAGAAACGAUUUUGCCGCUAAGGUUUCAAAGUACAUAACUUCUUGAUUCUCUUUCUUAAUUCUAACCCCUCCUAAGCGUCUUUCUUAAUUCU